CCUGUGUGAUCUUGGACAAAUCAUCUAAGUUUGUUAAGCCCCAUUUUUCUCAUCUGUAAAGUGAAGGGGCUUUACUAAAUGACCUCUAAGCCCUCUUCCAACAUGCCCCCAACCAAUGUUGCUCUGUUUCUCUUUGAUCCUUUUCUCUUCCUGUGGUCCCCACACCAUUCUGUCUUGGGCCCUAUGAAUCUCUUUGAGUAGACCUGGCUUUUCAUCUCCUCUCUCUUUCUCAGGGCCCUGCUGGUCGUCCUGGUGUCCCUGGAGUGGAUGGUAUCCGAGGCCUCCCUGGAACUGUGAUUAUGAUGCCUUUCCAAUUUAGGGGUGAUUCCCUCAAAGGUCCCCCAAGUUCAUUCCAACAGGCACAGGCACGAGCAGUGCUACAGCAAGCCCAGGUGGGAGCCUACGUGGCUAAUGAGAGGCUUAUGGGAGGAAUAAGGGCUCAAGGAGUUCCAUAAGAGAUAAAGAAGCUUUUGUGGAGCUAGUGGGGGCUCAUAAAAAUUUAACUGGGGUAAAUGAGGGGCCUUAGUGGGUAGGGGAGGGUACGAGUGGAUAAUUAAGCAUUCAUGGGGAUACUAGAUGGGGAUAUGACUGGAGAAGGUAAUGGGGUGACAUGGCGAAGGAAGGGAUG
rnacentral:lncRNA from 1 species